UUGGAUCCAAAUUGGGUAUCAAAACUAAUAGACUAGGGAUGAGUUCUCUUCAGGAUUGGAUUCUUUCAAUGAUUAGAAGAACCAAUUUUGAUACUAAAGAAAGUAAGGAUAUGAUUUCAAAUUUUGCACAUCUAUGGCUCCAAAAGGAACAAAGUUAUCUUUGAAGGAAAAUCCUCAAACCUUAUCAGUGUGAUAAAGUUGGCAGAAGAGUAUAAAGAGGACAAGUAUGGUAAUCCUUAUUCAAACACCCAAGUUAUGGAUAAGGGAAGUCAUUAAGGAAUGCAUGAUAGGUAGACUUAUGGAUUGGGUCAUUCGUCCAAUUCGUCCACUGCUGAAGGCUCGCUUGAAAAGUGGGAGGAUUUGAAAAAAAAAUAGGUUUAGACAAAAAAUAAGGUCCGUUUUCUAAACAAGCCGAGCCUUGGGUAAUAUUUUUUUGGUUCGGGCUCGACUUGAAUUUGCUUAAAAUUUUUUACUACUAUUUACCAUUUUUGUUGUUGUUGUUUGUUGCCACUUUGAUGUUAUUUUGCUACCACUUUGCUAUUAUAUUGAUAUUAUUUUGUUGUUAUUGUUUAGAUAUUGUACAACUUUUGUUUUAUUAUUAAUUUUGUUACUAUUUUAGAGAUAAUUGCUUACUAAGUUGCAACAAUCUUAAUGUUGUUUAAGUAUAAAGACUUUUUUGUUUAUGUAUUUUCAAUUUGUUGGGAAACCUUUAUUUUAAUGUUUUUAGUAUAUUUGAUUUAUUAUAAUUUUUUAAACUUUUUUUUAAACAUAAAAAUAAUAUAAUAUUUUUUAAUACGGACAGGUCAGGCUCGAGUUUAGUAUUUUUUUUAUCUGAAUUGGGCUUGAGCAAAAUUUUAGACCUAUUUUUUGGAUCGAAUUUAACUCAAAACUCAAAAUUUUGCAUUAACUUGAUCCAUAAUCAAAUCUAAUGACAGGAGUGAAAAGCAAACUGCUGGAUGCUCGGUUUUCGUUAAUGGCAGCGCAUCGGAAGGGACUCACAUCAGCAAAUUUUUGGACCAGGGAUAAACUCUUAAGAGCAAUUGUUGAUGGGAGAAAGGUCCAUAUCAAGUGGGAGUUCCGACCAAAUUCAUGUUGCGGAAGUUAUUUAGUCAUAUAGGUGUAAGCAAAUCUUAUUUUGUGGCCUUGAACUGGGUCGAUAAAGAGGUAAGUAAACUGUUAAAAGCUAGUUAGGAAUCCGCUUUAUUUUAUUGCUAACAUCUGUUUCGACAAAUUUGAUCCAUGUAUCCAAAAAAAAUGCAAAGUAACAGUGUUGUUCCAGCUUUUCAUUAAAUUUAAUGGUGUUAGUAUAAGUGAUUUUAAUUUUUAAUAAUCAUUAGCUGAGUCUUAGU
rnacentral:lncRNA from 1 species